AGUGAACGCUGGCGGUAGGCCUAACACAUGCAAGUCGAACGGCAGCACAGUAAGAGCUUGCUCUUACGGGUGGCGAGUGGCGGACGGGUGAGGAAUACAUCGGAAUCUACUUUUUCGUGGGGGAUAACGUAGGGAAACUUACGCUAAUACCGCAUACGACCUACGGGUGAAAGCAGGGGAUCUUCGGACCUUGCGCGAUUGAAUGAGCCGAUGUCGGAUUAGCUAGUUGGCGGGGUAAAGACCAACCAAGGCGACGAUCCGUAGCUGGUCUGAGAGGAUGAUCGGCCACACUGGAACUGAGACACGGUCCAGACUCCUACGGGAGGCAGCAGUGGGGAAUAUUGGACAAUGGGCGCAAGCCUGAUCCAGCCAUACCGCGUGGGUGAAGAAGGCCUUCGGGUUGUAAAGCCCUUUUGUUGGGAAAGAAAAGCAGCAGGUUAAUACCCCGCUGUUCUGACGGUACCCAAAGAAUAAGCACCGGCUAACUUCGUG
rnacentral:rRNA from 1 species